ACACGGAGGAUGCGAGCGUUAUCCGGAUUUAUUGGGUUUAAAGGGAGCGUAGGUGGGAUAUUAAGUCAGCUGUGAAAGUUUGGGGCUCAACCUUAAAAUUGCAGUUGAUACUGGUUUCCUUGAGUACGGUACAGGUGGGCGGAAUUCGUGGUGUAGCGGUGAAAUGCUUAGAUAUCACGAAGAACUCCGAUCGCGAAGGCAGCUCACCGGGCCGGAACUGACACUGAUGCUCGAAAGUGCGGGUAUCAAACAGGAUUAGAUACCCUGGUAGUCCGCACAGUAAACGAUGAAUACUCGCUGUUUGCGAUACACGGUAAGCGGCCAAGCGAAAGCGUUAAGUAUUCCACCUGGGGAGUACGCCGGCAACGGUGAAACUCAAAUGAAUUGACGGGG
rnacentral:rRNA from 1 species